GUGGUCACUUCAACAGCACAUAUACUAAAAUUGGAACGAUACAGAGAUUAGCAUGGCCCCUAUGCAAGGAUGACAUGCAAAUUUGUGAAGCAUUCCAUAUUUUU
ensembl:snRNA U6 spliceosomal RNA